rnacentral:rRNA from 1 species
AUGCAAGUCGAACGCACAGCGAAAGGUGCUUGCACCUUUCAAGUGAGUGGCGAACGGGUGAGUAACACGUGGACAACCUGCCUCAAGGCUGGGGAUAACAUUUGGAAACAGAUGCUAAUACCGAAUAAAACUUAGUGUCGCAUGACACAAAGUUAAAAGGCGCUUCGGCGUCACCUAAAGAUGGAUCCGCGGUGCAUUAGUUAGUUGGUGGGGUAAAGGCCUACCAAGACAAUGAUGCAUAGCCGAGUUGAGAGACUGAUCGGCCACAUUGGGACUGAGACACGGCCCAAACUCCUACGGGAGGCUGCAGUAGGGAAUCUUCCACAAUGGGCGAAAGCCUGAUGGAGCAACGCCGCGUGUGUGAUGAAGGCUUUCGGGUCGUAAAGCACUGUUGUAUGGGAAGAACAGCUAGAAUAGGAAAUGAUUUUAGUUUGACGGUACCAUACCAGAAAGGGACGGCUAAAUACGUGCCAGCAGCCGCGGUAAUACGUAUGUCCCGAGCGUUAUCCGGAUUUAUUGGGCGUAAAGCGAGCGCAGACGGUUUAUUAAGUCUGAUGUGAAAGCCCGGAGCUCAACUCCGGAAUGGCAUUGGAAACUGGUUAACUUGAGUGCAGUAGAGGUAAGUGGAACUCCAUGUGUAGCGGUGGAAUGCGUAGAUAUAUGGAAGAACACCAGUGGCGAAGGCGGCUUACUGGACUGCAACUGACGUUGAGGCU